AGACCCGAAACCCGGUGAUCUAGCCAUGGGCAGGUUGAAGGUUGGGUAACACUAACUGGAGGACCGAACCGACUAAUGUUGAAAAAUUAGCGGAUGACCUGUGGCUGGGGGUGAAAGGCCAAUCAAACCGGGAGAUAGCUGGUUCUCCCCGAAAGCUAUUUAGGUAGCGCCUCGUGAAUUCAUCUCCGGGGGUAGAGCACUGUUUCGGCUAGGGGGCCAUCCCGGCUUACCAACCCGAUGCAAACUGCGAAUACCGGAGAAUGUUAUCACGGGAGACACACGGCGGGUGCUAACGUCCGUCGUGAAGAGGGAAACAACCCAGACCGCCAGCUAAGGUCCCAAAGUCAUGGUUAAGUGGGAAACGAUGUGGGAAGGCCCAGACAGCCAGGAUGUUGGCUUAGAAGCAGCCAUCAUUUAAAGAAAGCGUAAUAGCUCACUGGUCGAGUCGGCCUGCGCGGAAGAUGUAACGGGGCUAAACCAUGCACCGAAGCUGCGGCAGCGACACUCAGGUGUUGUUGGGUAGGGGAGCGUUCUGUAAGCCUGCGAAGGUGGCCUGUGAGGGUUGCUGGAGGUAUCAGAAGUGCGAAUGCUGACAUAAGUAACGAUAAAGCGGGUGAAAAGCCCGCUCGCCGGAAGACCAAGGGUUCCUGUCCAACGUUAAUCGGGGCAGGGUGAGUCGACCCCUAAGGCGAGGCCGAAAGGCGUAGUCGAUGGGAAACGGGUUAAUAUUCCCGUACUUGGUGUUACUGCGAAGGGGGGACGGAGAAGGCUAUGUUGGCCGGGCGACGGUUGUC
rnacentral:rRNA from 1 species